GACGAACGCUGGCGGCGUGCUUAACACAUGCAAGUCGAACGGAAAGGCCCUGCUUUUGUGUGGUGCUCGAGUGGCGAACGGGUGAGUAACACGUGAGUAACCUUCCCUUGACUGUGGGAUAACUUCAGAAAACUGGUGCUAAUACCGGAGAGGAGCUCCUGCUGCAGGGGGGGGGUUGGAAAGUUUCGGCGGAUGGGGAUGGACUCGCGGCUUAUCAGCUUGUUGGGGGGGGAGUGGCUUACCAAGGCUUUGACGGGUAGCCGGCAUGGGAGGGUGGACGGCGACAUUGGGACUGAGAUAGGGCCCAGACUCCUACGGGAGGCAGCAGUGGGGAGUAUUGCACAGUGGGCGGAAGCGUGAUGAAGAAACGCCGCGUGUGGGAUGACGGCCUUCGGGUUGUAAACCGCUUUCGCCUGUGACGAAGCGUGAGUGACGGUAAUGGGUAAAGAAGCACCGGCUAACUACGUG
rnacentral:rRNA from 1 species